GAAGCAAGACCGUGAGGUGGAGCAAAACUCAAAAACUUGUCUCAGUUCGGAUUGUAGGCUGAAACUCGCUUACAUGAAGCUGGAGUUGCUAGUAAUCGCGAAUCAGCAUGUCGCGGUGAAUACGUUCCCGGGCCUUGUACACACCGCCCGUCACACCAUGAGAGUUGGCAAUACCCAACGUACGUGAUCUAACCCGCAAGGGAGGAAGCGUCCUAAGGUAGGGUCAGCGAUUGGGGUGAAGUCGUAACAAGGUACC
rnacentral:rRNA from 1 species